UGUAAAAAAUUUCUGUAAAUUUACAGCAUAUUAACAGCGUAAAUAUACAGUACUGAACUGUUUUCUAAAAUUACGGUGUCUUACCGUAAAUGCACACGUGAUCGGUGGGAGAGGGGGAACCAAAGGCUAGCUGAUGCAUGGAGGAGCAUGGAUUCAGUCAAAGUUUUAUGGAUUUCAUCUCAAGUUGAGGCUCAUUUACAGGAACAUGAAGAUGGACUGGUUUCACAUGCAGAUGUUGCAGCAUCUGCAUCUGAGGUUGAGAAGACACUCAAUCUACCUGCCAAUCCUCAUCUGAUUUUGCUGGUCAACAUUUUUGACUGCAGUUGCAACAGUGUUUGCUGUGUACUACAUCUUCAACCUGCAGUAUCAAGAGGCUAGAGGUUAGAAUUUUUUCAAAGAUGAUUCUAUGGAAUAAACCCAGAAAGAGGCUCAAAGACCUGCCGAGGCAAGGUAGUCUCCAAGAAGACGGGGAAGGUGGUGAAUAAGAAGUCCACUACAGUCAAUCCAAAGGUUGCCACUCUACAAAAAAAUCGAAU